GGGUACAUAAAAGGUGACAUAUAUAUCAAAAGGGAAAAGAAGAAAAUCCCAGCUAAUAUAGUAAACUAAAUUAAGGUACUCUUGUCUAUGUACAACCAAAAAAUAAAUAAAUAAUUAAAGUGUUGUAAUAGAGUGUAAAUUGCUUACAGUAAAGUGCCUAUAUCGAAAUCAAUAUUUAGACCUUUUGGGGACAGUGUCUGCAGUUCAAAGAUCCAUUUUAACUCUUGUCUAUCCAAACUGCAGACACUAUCCCCACCUCUCCAGUGUCCUGUUACCCUUUCAAU